CUUGUUGGCCAAAAUAUCCCAAAGGCACCAGAUCUUGCCUUAUCUUGGAAGCUAAGUAGGAUCCGCCCUGGUUACUAUUUGGGUGGGAGAUUGCUAAUGAUAAUCAGGUGCUGCAAGC
rnacentral:rRNA from 11 species